AUUGAACGCUGGCGGCAGGCCUAACACAUGCAAGUCGAGCGGAUGAAGGGAGCUUGCUCCUGGAUUCAGCGGCGGACGGGUGAGUAAUGCCUAGGAAUCUGCCUGGUAGUGGGGGAUAACGUCCGGAAACGGGCGCUAAUACCGCAUACGUCCUGAGGGAGAAAGUGGGGGAUAUUCGGACCUCACGCUAUCAGAUGAGCCUAGGUCGGAUUAGCUAGUUGGUGGGGUAAAGGCCUACCAAGGCGACGAUCCGUAACUGGUCUGAGAGGAUGAUCAGUCACACUGGAACUGAGACACGGUCCAGACUCCUACGGGAGGCAGCAGUGGGGAAUAUUGGACAAUGGGCGAAAGCCUGAUCCAGCCAUGCCGCGUGUGUGAAGAAGGUCUUCGGAUUGUAAAGCACUUUAAGUUGGGAGGAAGGGCAGUAAGUUAAUACCUUGCUGUUUUGACGUUACCAACAGAAUAAGCACCGGCUAACUUCGU
rnacentral:rRNA from 1 species